GAUGAACGCUGGCGGCGUGCCUAAUACAUGCAAGUCGAGCGAACGGACGAGAAGCUUGCUUCACUGAUGUUAGCGGCGGACGGGUGAGUAACACGUGGAUAACCUACCUAUAAGACUGGGAUAACUUCGGGAAACCGGAGCUAAUACCGGAUAAUAUUUUGAACCGCAUGGUUCAAAAGUGAAAGACGGUCUUGCUGUCACUUAUAGAUGGAUCCGCGCUGCAUUAGCUAGUUGGUAAGGUAACGGCUUACCAAGGCAACGAUGCAUAGCCGACCUGAGAGGGGGAUCGGCCACACUGGAACGGAGACACGGUCCAGACUCCUACGGGAGGCAGCAGUAGGGAAUCUUCCGCAAUGGGCGAAAGCCUGACGGAGCAACGCCGCGUGAUGGAUGAAGGUCUUCGGAUCGUAAAACUCUGUUAUUAGGGAAGAACAUAGGUGGAAGUAACUGUGCACAUCUUGACGGUACCUAAUCAGAAAGCCACGGCUAACUACGUG
rnacentral:rRNA from 1 species